GUUGCAGCCACUUCCUGUGUUAAAGGCGUGAGCAACUUAAAGACAGACAGUGAGACGGAGAAGACGUUCAGUUCAGUUUUUCAGUCGGUCAAGAUGUCUGCAGACGCUGUCGCUGCUCCACGUUUGAGCCUGAAUGUGAGAUAUAACAGAAACGUCCAAGAGACCACAUUUCUGUGACUGGCUGUGACUUGAAGCUGCAGAGGCAACAUUUUUCGGUCUGCACCAUUUUGUAAACUUAAUUGAUCCCAGACCCUCAAAACCAGCCUGCAGCCAACAACAGAAGGCGUCUCAAAGCUGCUGCAGUGACUCUGGGAGGGUUUUAUCUUCUGAUAUUGGCUGCACUCUUCAUUCGCUUUCUUAUACACAUUUGGGCAUCUGGAGUGCUACCAACCAACAGAAAGGGAAACAACAUAACUCAGUCAGUUUUUUCACGGCUGCCAAACGAGGAAAAAUAUGAAACGGCAAACUGACAACAGUCAGUUACAGGAUGAAGUACAGCAGACUAUAACUGAAGAAGUUUGUCUCUGAGCUGAGUAACGGAGGACAGUCCUGGAUUGGUCUAUGGUAUGUCGGGAGACGUGC